rfam:Angiostrongylus costaricensis strain Costa Rica genome assembly, scaffold: ACOC_scaffold0001984
GGUCCUGUGGUGUAGUGGUUAUCACAUCUGCUUUACACGCAGAAGGUCGCCGGUUCGAUCCCGGCCAGGGCCU